rnacentral:piRNA from 1 species
GGGAAGAUGCAUCCACCUCCUGCCUCUAUC